rnacentral:piRNA from 1 species
UGUGAAUGUCAGGGUGCUGUUUGCCCACAC